rnacentral:rRNA from 1 species
UUAAGUUAUUAAGGGCGCACGGUGGAUGCCUUGGCACUAGAAGCCGAUGAAGGACGUUACUAACGACGAUAUGCUUUGGGGAGCUGUAAGUAAGCUUUGAUCCAGAGAUUUCCGAAUGGGGAAACCCAGCAUGAGUUAUGUCAUGUUAUCGAUAUGUGAAUACAUAGCAUAUCAGAAGGCACACCCGGAGAACUGAAACAUCUUAGUACCCGGAGGAAGAGAAAGAAAAUUCGAUUCCCUUAGUAGCGGCGAGCGAAACGGGAAGAGCCCAAACCAACAAGCUUGCUUGUUGGGGUUGUAGGACACUCUAUACGGAGUUACAAAGGACGACAUUAGACGAAUCAUCUGGAAAGAUGAAUCAAAGAAGGUAAUAAUCCUGUAGUCGAAAAUGUUGUCUCUCUUGAGUGGAUCCUGAGUACGACGGAGCACGUGAAAUUCCGUCGGAAUCUGGGAGGACCAUCUCCUAAGGCUAAAUACUCUCUAGUGACCGAUAGUGAACCAGUACCGUGAGGGAAAGGUGAAAAGCACCCCGGAAGGGGAGUGAAAUAGAACCUGAAACCGUGUGCUUACAAGUAGUCAGAGCCCGUUAAUGGGUGAUGGCGUGCCUUUUGUAGAAUGAACCGGCGAGUUACGAUUUGAUGCAAGGUUAAGCAGUAAAUGUGGAGCCGUAGCGAAAGCGAGUCUGAAUAGGGCGUUUAGUAUUUGGUCGUAGACCCGAAACCAGGUGAUCUACCCUUGGUCAGGUUGAAGUUCAGGUAACACUGAAUGGAGGACCGAACCGACUUACGUUGAAAAGUGAGCGGAUGAACUGAGGGUAGCGGAGAAAUUCCAAUCGAACCUGGAGAUAGCUGGUUCUCUCCGAAAUAGCUUUAGGGCUAGCCUCAAGUGAUGAUUAUUGGAGGUAGAGCACUGUUUGGACGAGGGGCCCCUCUCGGGUUACCGAAUUCAGACAAACUCCGAAUGCCAAUUAAUUUAACUUGGGAGUCAGAACAUGGGUGAUAAGGUCCGUGUUCGAAAGGGAAACAGCCCAGACCACCAGCUAAGGUCCCAAAAUAUAUGUUAAGUGGAAAAGGAUGUGGCGUUGCCCAGACAACUAGGAUGUUGGCUUAGAAGCAGCCAUCAUUUAAAGAGUGCGUAAUAGCUCACUAGUCGAGUGACACUGCGCCGAAAAUGUACCGGGGCUAAACAUAUUACCGAAGCUGUGGAUUGUCCUUUGGACAAUGGUAGGAGAGCGUUCUAAGGGCGUUGAAGCAUGAUCGUAAGGACAUGUGGAGCGCUUAGAAGUGAGAAUGCCGGUGUGAGUAGCGAAAGACGGGUGAGAAUCCCGUCCACCGAUUGACUAAGGUUUCCAGAGGAAGGCUCGUCCGCUCUGGGUUAGUCGGGUCCUAAGCUGAGGCCGACAGGCGUAGGCGAUGGAUAACAGGUUGAUAUUCCUGUACCACCUAUAAUCGUUUUAAUCGAUGGGGGGACGCAGUAGGAUAGGCGAAGCGUGCGAUUGGAUUGCACGUCUAAGCAGUAAGGCUGAGUAUUAGGCAAAUCCGGUACUCGUUAAGGCUGAGCUGUGAUGGGGAGAAGACAUUGAGUCUUCGAGUCGUUGAUUUCACACUGCCGAGAAAAGCCUCUAGAUAGAAAAUAGGUGCCCGUACCGCAAACCGACACAGGUAGUCAAGAUGAGAAUUCUAAGGUGAGCGAGCGAACUCUCGUUAAGGAACUCGGCAAAAUGACCCCGUAACUUCGGGAGAAGGGGUGCUCUUUAGGGUUAACGCCCAGAAGAGCCGCAGUGAAUAGGCCCAAGCGACUGUUUAUCAAAAACACAGGUCUCUGCUAAACCGUAAGGUGAUGUAUAGGGGCUGACGCCUGCCCGGUGCUGGAAGGUUAAGAGGAGUGGUUAGCUUCUGCGAAGCUACGAAUCGAAGCCCCAGUAAACGGCGGCCGUAACUAUAACGGUCCUAAGGUAGCGAAAUUCCUUGUCGGGUAAGUUCCGACCCGCACGAAAGGCGUAACGAUUUGGGCACUGUCUCAACGAGAGACUCGGUGAAAUCAUAGUACCUGUGAAGAUGCAGGUUACCCGCGACAGGACGGAAAGACCCCGUGGAGCUUUACUGUAGCCUGAUAUUGAAAUUCGGCACAGCUUGUACAGGAUAGGUAGGAGCCUUUGAAACGUGAGCGCUAGCUUACGUGGAGGCGCUGGUGGGAUACUACCCUAGCUGUGUUGGCUUUCUAACCCGCACCACUUAUCGUGGUGGGAGACAGUGUCAGGCGGGCAGUUUGACUGGGGCGGUCGCCUCCUAAAAGGUAACGGAGGCGCUCAAAGGUUCCCUCAGAAUGGUUGGAAAUCAUUCAUAGAGUGUAAAGGCAUAAGGGAGCUUGACUGCGAGACCUACAAGGCGAGCAGGGUCGAAAGACGGACUUAGUGAUCCGGUGGUUCCGCAUGGAAGGGCCAUCGCUCAACGGAUAAAAGCUACCCCGGGGAUAACAGGCUUAUCUCCCCCAAGAGUUCACAUCGACGGGGAGGUUUGGCACCUCGAUGUCGGCUCAUCGCAUCCUGGGGCUGUAGUCGGUCCCAAGGGUUGGGCUGUUCGCCCAUUAAAGCGGUACGCGAGCUGGGUUCAGAACGUCGUGAGACAGUUCGGUCCCUAUCCGUCGUGGGCGUAGGAAAUUUGAGAGGAGCUGUCCUUAGUACGAGAGGACCGGGAUGGACAUACCUCUGGUGUACCAGUUGUCGUGCCAACGGCAUAGCUGGGUAGCUAUGUGUGGACGGGAUAAGUGCUGAAAGCAUCUAAGCAUGAAGCCCCCCUCAAGAUGAGAUUUCCCAACUUCGGUUAUAAGAUCCCUCAAAGAUGAUGAGGUUAAUAGGUUCGAGGUGGAAGCAUGGUGACAUGUGGAGCUGACGAAUACUAAUCGAUCGAAGACUUAAUCAA